rnacentral:rRNA from 1 species
GCUCAGGACGAACGCUGGCGGCGUGCCUAAUACAUGCAAGUUGAACGCUUGAUUUUCACCGAAGCUUGCUUCACCGAAAAUCAAGAGUAGCGAACGGGUGAGUAACGCGUGGGUAACCUACCUAUCAGCGGGGGAUAACUAUUGGAAACGAUAGCUAAUACCGCAUAACAAUGUUGGAUGCAUAUUCGACAUUUGAAAGUACCAAAUGGUACACUGAGAGAUGGACCCGCGUUGUAUUAGCUAGUUGGUAGUGUAAUGGACUACCAAGGCGAUGAUACAUAGCCGACCUGAGAGGGUGAUCGGCCACAUUGGGACUGAGACACGGCCCAAACUCCUACGGGAGGCAGCAGUAGGGAAUCUUCGGCAAUGGACGAAAGUCUGACCGAGCAACGCCGCGUGAGUGAAGAAGGUUUUCGGAUCGUAAAACUCUGUUGUUAGAGAAGAACGUUGCAUAGAGUGGAAAAUUAUGCAAGUGACGGUAUCUAACCAGAAAGGGACGGCUAACUACGUGCCAGCAGCCGCGGUAAUACGUAGGUCCCGAGCGUUGUCCGGAUUUAUUGGGCGUAAAGCGAGCGCAGGUGGUUUAAUAAGUCUGAUGUAAAAGGCAGUGGCUCAACCAUUGUGUGCAUUGGAAACUGUUAGACUUGAGUGCAGUAGAGGAGAGUGGAAUUCCAUGUGUAGCGGUGAAAUGCGUAGAUAUAUGGAGGAACACCGGUGGCGAAAGCGGCUCUCUGGAC